UCGAGAGUCGGAUGCUGGACCAACUGAGCCACCCAGGUGCCUCUCACAGCACCUUUUUGGAUGAAAUGAUUAAGGCAAAGGAACCCAAAGUAUAGCCACACUGCUCUGCAUCACCCUAGGCCGCUAACUUCACGAGGACACGUACCACCCCUGCUUUAGUCCGUCAUUAUGAUGCCAGCACCUGUCACGAUGCCUGACAUGGUAAAGUUCUUCAUAUAUAUUUGUCGAAUGAAUGAAUGAAAUGUAUGAAGAAACAAAGUGAUGGCAACAGGGGGCCCAGAUAGAAGAGAAACUCAAAACAAACUCAACAUACAGCUGCUUGACCUCCUCCGUGUAAUUUGAGCCCUCACUGAGAGACUGGCAGUCACUUGAUGUCUAGUGGAAACUUCUGGUCCUGCCGUCCUGUUGACUAAGAAACCCGAGGAUGUGGCUCUCUCAAACUUUCCGUCCUACGAGUGGUGCCAAUAUGCCCCUGAGCUCAAAAUUUUGGCAUCAACAUUGACAGUUUCCUCCGUUCGGCCCUUCAAAUGGAGCCAGCCAUCCAGGCUUCUCAAAUGCGCCUUCAAACUCUCCUAGGAUGAUUUCUUUCCAUUCCUGCUUGGCCUUUGGGUCGUUACAUAGUUGGAUACCUGGGCCUAAAUUCCCCUUCCCUUCAACGGCUCUAAACUACCUACUGCAAUGAUCCUAAGUUUGUUUGUCUACCUUUCAAGACCCUGCAUAAUUUUCUCCUACCUGAUUUUAUUUUCCACGGCUCUCAAUGCUAAUCCGUCUACACAGACAUGCACAUAGACACAUCCACACUCCCGUGGGUGUACAUGCCUUCCACCAUCACCCACCUUUCCCUCGGGCUGCCUCCUCCUGCACACUUUUGGAUGGUCUCUGUAAUCCUCGCUUUGUCCGCCGGAACGCACCCCGGGAGGGCGUUUACCACCUCCGGCACCAGUCUACCAUAAUCUCUCCUUCGACCACCUCCACAGGCUGUGAUUUUCAGCGACAAGCCACACCUCUGCACUUACCCC